CCAAAUUAAUUCCUUGAUUCUUUUAAUGGGAAUUUUAAUAAUGGGAAAAAAUUUAUACUAAUGUUAAUGCCAUCUUAUAAUUAAUAAAUACACUGAUGAUUAUCCAUUAAUAAAUAUAAGAUAAGUAAUAUAAAUAUACCUGACGAUAGCAUCGGAAGUCAGUAUUGGGUCUAUGGGAGAAUUGAAGUUCAUUUAUAUCACUAUACUAAUGAUGUAGUCCAGGGAUUGGCAAACAUGGCCCGUGGGCCAAAUCCAGCCCACUGCCUCUUUUUAUAUGGCUCACAGGCUAAGAAUGAAUUUUACAAUUUUAAAAUUUCAAAGUACCCGCUAUAUAGUACAGCUGAAUUGUGGAGUUUCAAGAAAGACCGCACGUGGUGGUCUUGUAGCUUCUCAUUUGCAUGCUCUUGGUGGCCUCUGCUGUUAUUCCAUGUAGUCGCAGUUACAAUUAGGCAGAGUUUAUAGUAUCACAUGUAUUGCUAUUCUUCUUGUGCUUGUUAUUUAA
rnacentral:lncRNA from 1 species